GACGAACGCUGGCGGCGUGCCUAAUACAUGCAAGUAGAACGCUGAAGAGAGGAGCUUGCUCUUCUUGGAUGAGUUGCGAACGGGUGAGUAACGCGUAGGUAACCUGCCUUGUAGCGGGGGAUAACUAUUGGAAACGAUAGCUAAUACCGCAUAACAAUGGAUGACCCAUGUCAUUUAUUUGAAAGGGGCAAAUGCUCCACUACAAGAUGGACCUGCGUUGUAUUAGCUAGUAGGUGAGGUAACGGCUCACCUAGGCGACGAUACAUAGCCGACCUGAGAGGGUGAUCGGCCACACUGGGACUGAGACACGGCCCAGACUCCUACGGGAGGCAGCAGUAGGGAAUCUUCGGCAAUGGGGGCAACCCUGACCGAGCAACGCCGCGUGAGUGAAGAAGGUUUUCGGAUCGUAAAGCUCUGUUGUAAGUCAAGAACGAGUGUGAGAGUGGAAAGUUCACACUGUGACGGUAGCUUACCAGAAGGGGACGGCUAACUACGU
rnacentral:rRNA from 1 species